GAUGAACGCUAGCUACAGGCUUAACACAUGCAAGUCGAGGGGUAACGAGAGGAAAGCUUGCUUUCCUUGUCGACGACCGGCGCACGGGUGAGUAACGCGUAUCCAACCUGCCCCCAACUAGGGAAUAACCUUGCGAAAGUAAGACUAAUACCCUAUAAUUUCCUCAGAUGUCAUCUGACGAGGAAUAAAGAUUUAUCGGUUGUGGAUGGGGAUGCGUCUGAUUAGCUUGUUGGCGGGGUAACGGCCCACCAAGGCAACGAUCAGUAGGGGUUCUGAGGGGAAGGUCCCCCACAUUGGAACUGGGACACGGUCCAAACUCCUACGGGAGGCAGCAGUGAGGAAUAUUGGUCAAUGGGCGGAAGCCUGAACCAGCCAAGUAGCGUGCAGGAUGGCGGCCCUAUGGGUUGUAAACUGCUUUUAUACAGGAAUAAAGUUAGCCACGUGUGGUUAUUUGUAGGUACUGUAUGAAUAAGGACCGGCUAAUUCCGUGCCAGCCGCCGCCGUAA
rnacentral:rRNA from 1 species